GAGCGAUGAGGACAAUAACGCAUCUUGUGAUGCAGGGCACAUCACGACUGUCAGAUUAUUAUCUGACGGUACCGGCGUUCCUGAGCUC